rnacentral:rRNA from 2 species
GGUUAAGCGACUAAGCGUACACGGUGGAUGCCCUGGCAGUCAGAGGCGAUGAAGGACGUGCUAAUCUGCGAAAAGCGUCGGUAAGGUGAUAUGAACCGUUAUAACCGGCGAUGUCCGAAUGGGGAAACCCAGUGUGAUUCGUCACACUAUCGUUAACUGAAUACAUAGGUUAACGAGGCGAACCGGGGGAACUGAAACAUCUAAGUACCCCGAGG